rnacentral:rRNA from 1 species
GACGAACGCUGGCGGCGUGCUUAACACAUGCAAGUCGAACGGAAAGGCCCUGCUUUUGUGGGGUGCUCGAGUGGCGAACGGGUGAGAAACACGUGAGUAACCUGCCCUUGACUUUGGGAUAACUUCAGGAAACUGGGGCUAAUACCGGAUAGGAGCUCCUGCUGCAUGGUGGGGGUUGGAAAGUUUCGGCGGUUGGGGAUGGACUCGCGGCUUAUCAGCUUGUUGGCGGGGUAGUGGCUUACCAAGGCUUUGACGGGUAGCCGGCCUGAGAGGGUGACCGGCCACAUUGGGACUGAGAUACGGCCCAGACUCCUACGGGAGGCAGCAGUGGGGAAUAUUGCACAAUGGGCGGAAGCCUGAUGCAGCAACGCCGCGUGCGGGAUGACGGCCUUCGGGUUGUAAACCGCUUUCGCCUGUGACGAAGCGUGAGUGACGGUAAUGGGUAAAGAAGCACCGGCUAACUACGUG